rnacentral:rRNA from 1 species
UACGUAGGCAGCGAGCGUUUGUUCGGAAUUACUGGGCGUAAAGAGUGUGUAGGCGGUGCUCUAAGUUCGGUGUGAAAUCUCCCGGCUCAACUGGGAGGGUGCGCCGAAAACUGGAAUGCUUGAACAUGGGAGAGGAAAGCGGAAUUCCUGGUGUAGCGGUCGAAAUGCGUAGAUAUCAGGAGGAACACCUGCGGUGUAGACGGCUUUCUGGACCAUUGUUGACGCUGAGACACGAAAGCGUGGGUAGCAAACAGG